GUAGGUGGCAAGCGUUGUCCGGAAUCAUUGGGCGUAAAGCGCGCGCAGGCGGUCCUUUAAGUCUGAUGUGAAAGCCCACGGCUCAACCGUGGAGGGUCAUUGGAAACUGGGGGACUUGAGUACAGAAGAGGAAAGCGGAAUUCCAAGUGUAGCGGUGAAAUGCGUAGAGAUUUGGAGGAACACCAGUGGCGAAGGCGGCUUUCUGGUCUGUAACUGACGCUGAGGCGCGAAAGCGUGGGGAGCAAACAGGGAUUAGAUACCCUGGUAGUCCACGCCGUAAACGAUGAGUGCUAAGUGUUAGGGGGUUUCCCGCCCCUUAGUGCUGCAGCUAACGCAUUAAGCACUCCGCCUGGGGAUACGGCCGCAAGGCUG
rnacentral:rRNA from 1 species